GAUGAACGCUGGCGGCGUGCCUAAUACAUGCAAGUCGAGCGAACGGACGAGAAGCUUGCUUCUCUGAUGUUAGCGGCGGACGGGUGAGUAACACGUGGAUAACCUACCUAUAAGACUGGGAUAACUUCGGGAAACCGGAGCUAAUACCGGAUAAUAUUUUGAACCGCAUGGUUCAAAAGUAAAAGACGGUCUUGCUGUCACUUAUAGAUGGAUCCGCGCUGCAUUAGCUAGUUGGUAAGGUAACGGCUUACCAAGGCAACGAUGCAUAGCCGACCUGAGAGGGUGAUCGGCCACACUGGAACUGAGACACGGUCCAGACUCCUAAGGGAGGCAGCAGUAGGGAAUCUUCCGCAAUGGGCGAAAGCCUGACGGAGCAAAGCCGCGUGAGUGAUGAAGGUCUUCGGAUCGUAAAACUCUGUUAUUAGGGAAGAACAUAUGUGUAAGUAACUGUGCACAUCUUGACGGUACCUAAUCAGAAAGCCACGGCUAACUACGUG
rnacentral:rRNA from 1 species